rnacentral:rRNA from 1 species
GUUAGGAAUCUUCCACAAUGGGGGCAACCCUGAUGGAGCAACACCGCGUGCUGGAUGAAGGCCUUCGGGUCGUAAACAGCUUUUGUAUACGAAGAAUAUGACGGUAAUAUACGAAUAAGGGUCGGCUAACUACGUGCCAGCAGCCGCGGUCAUACGUAGGACCCAAGCGUUAUCCGGAGUGACUGGGGGUAAAGAGUUGCGUAGGCGGCUUAUUAAGCGGGUAGUGAAAUCUGGUGGCUCAACCAUCAACACAUUGCUCGAACGGAUAGGCUUGAGAAUGGUAGAGGUAGUUGGAAGUUCUUGUGUAGGAGUUAAAUCCGUAGAUAUAAGAAGGAACACCAAUGGCGUAGGCAGACUACUGGACCAUUUCUGACGCUGGGGCACGAAAGCGUGGGGAGCGAACCGGAUUAGAUACCCUGGUAGUCC